rnacentral:rRNA from 1 species
UACGAAGGGUGCAAGCGUUACUCGGAAUUACUGGGCGUAAAGCGUGCGUAGGUGGUUUGUUAAGUCUGAUGUGAAAGCCCUGGGCUCAACCUGGGAAUUGCAUUGGAUACUGGCAGGCUAGAGUGCGGUAGAGGAUGGCGGAAUUCCCGGUGUAGCAGUGAAAUGCGUAGAGAUCGGCAGGAACACCCAGGGGGAAACCAGCCGACUGGGCAUCUGCUGACGCUGAGGUGCGAGAGCGUGGGGAGCGAACCGG